GCCAGUGUGGCACAGUGGUUUGAGCUAUACCUAGCUGGAUUAUAACUCUGGAGACCAGGGUUUGAAUCCCUGCUCAGCCA